ensembl:lncRNA
CAGCAGGACCCCGACUGCCCCCUUUUAAACCAAAGCCAGAACCAGAAAGAGGUCAGAUAUGUGGAGAGUUUGCUGCUGUUGUUGCUUAGUCACUAAGUCACCGCCGACUGUGUUGCAACCCCACAGACUGUAUCCUGGGUUUUGCUGAUAGCUCAGAUGGUAAAGAAUCCACCUGCAAUGCAGGAGACCCCAUUUCGAUCUCUGUAUCAGGAAGAUCCCCUGGAGAAGGGCAUGGCAACCCACUCCAGUAUUCUUGCCUGGAGAAUCUCAUGGAUGGAGGAGCCUAGCAGCUACAGUCCAUGAGGUCGAAAAGUGUCAGACACAACUGAGCAACUAAGCACAGCACAGCACAGACUGUAGCCUGCCAGGCUCCUCUGAUCACGGGACCUCCCAGGCAAGAAUACUGGAGUGGGUUGCCAUUUCCUUCUCUGGGAUAUCUUCCUGGACCAGAGAUCGAACCCAGGUCUCCUGCAUUGGCAGGUGUGUUUUUUACCACUGAGCCACCAGAGUAAGCCCAUGUAGAUAGUGGUUGACCUCAUUUUAGACUAAGGUGGGUUGGUUCCAAUGUUUCCAAGUGCACUCCAAGACGAGAUAAAAAUGUAGUCCUCUCUGUUGUCAGGAUGAUCAGAAAAUCCGUGUGGUGACACGUCAGCAAGCUCAAGGGCUCUGUAGGCAGUGCCUUCCACUUUUUCUAAGAUACUGCAAGCAUGUGCACUUUUCCACAGGCUGAUGUUGAACAUCCUCUAAAUUACAGCUGUGGAAGCCGAACCACGUGUGAGGCCCCGAGCCACAGCAUCCUUCUGGCUCUGGAAACCCAAGUGGGUCACCCUUCACUAUGCUUCUUGGCCCAAGAAGUCACUGCAAAGCAGCAGGUGGACUGGGAGCAGAGCAUUCUCCCUUCACUCCCAAUUGCAGGUGAAGCACCCUGAGGCCUUCGACUUUGAUGCUUACUGUGAAAAAAGAAAGGAAGGGAGCCUCUGAAAAGAGAUCUUGCAAGACUUUUAAGCAAAUGUCCUCGGAUGCACUCUGCCUAAGCUCAGAAGACACCAAAAAGCACAGCGUCAUCGCAUCCUCCCGCAUCCUCAUCUCCCUCGCUCCCAGACCCAGCCAGGAGGAACCGGACAAAUUUUUUCGGGUGCUAGGUAGUUUUUGGCUUAGAAGGAGGAACAGAUACUUUGGCCAUCUGAUGCAAAGAAAGGACUCAUUUGAAAAGACCCUGAUGCUGGGAAAGACUGAAGGCGGGAGAAGGGGACGACAGAGGAUGAGAUGGUUGGAUGGCAUCACCAUUCAACGUGAGUUUGAGCAAACUCCGGGGGACAGUGAAGGACAGGGAAGCCUGGCGUGCUGCGGUCCGUGGGGUCUCAAAGAGUUGGAACUGAACUGAAGGAACAGAUGUCUUCUGUCUUUUGUUUUUGUUGUUGUUGCUGUUGUUUUUGGUAGUGCCUCUUUAUCCACCUACCCAACACAUACACAGAGUUUUGGGCCUGUAAUAAGUGAUCAAUAAUUGUUGGAUUGGAUUGAGCUGAGCUGAGUAGAUUUAAAUUGAAUAGAGCUGGACCUACAAAACACUCAGAAUUGCACUAACAGCAGUAGCGUGAUGGCAUUUUUUCUGUGGUACAUCUGAUAGCUCUGUUUGCCCGGUGUGUCCAUUUUCCCUUAGCAUAGAACAGCACCUGAUUUGCAACCAGAGGAUCACCCUCCCCUACUCACUGUCCAAGGGAUUCACAUACAUGGCUGCAAGGCCACAGCUAGUCCACAGGAUACCUUUGUGCAAAUUAAAGUCAUACACCCCUUCCUCCAGGCAGAACACCAGGCUUGCCCAGCAAGUAGCUGGUGCUGCACUGCCUGGUCAGCUGGAAGUUAUACAUGGUUCACAAUUAGCCUCAGUCGUUCUCAUUUGCAGCAGUACACUUACUCACACUGGCCAAUCAGCCCAUUCAACUUCUCAGGCCACAGUAAAGAGUUUCAGAAACAGAAAUGUGAACUGAGUUGAGCUUAUGAAAGUUAGCCAGAGAACUUUAGCUGGAAUUAUAGAAAUGAGGCAUUCUUACUUUCUGGUGGAAUGAUUAAAUGGCGGCAUACAGAUUUGGAGCUGCACUUGACUAUCAUCAUCAUCAUCAAUGAGGAAGAGUCAGCAAAAGGUGCAUGAGAUGGAAUCAAUGACAGAUUAUGAAUCGUAUCCUAUGAGUACCUGGAUUCAGUCAUGUCUGAAUCAAAUCACCUUUUC